UAGGGAAUAUUGCUUAAUGGGCGAAAGCCUGAAGCAGCAACGCCGCGUGUGUUAAGAAGGCCUUCGGGUUGUAAAACACUUUUUGAGGGGAUGAGGAAGGACAGUACCCUCAGAAUAAGCCUCGGCUAACUACGUGCCAGCAGCCGCGGUAAAACGUAGGAGGCGAGCGUUAUCCGGAUUUACUGGGCGUAAAGCGCGUGCAGGCGGCACGGCAAGUUGGAUGUGAAAGCUCCCGGCUUAACUGGGAGAGGUCGUUCAAAACUGCCGAGCUAGAGUGCGGGAGAGGGAGGUGGAAUUCCGGGUGUAGUGGUGAAAUGCGUAGAUAUCCGGAGGAACACCAGGGGAGAAAGCGGCCUCCUGGUGCGCAACUGACGCUAAGACGCGAAAGCUAGGGUAGCAAACGG
rnacentral:rRNA from 1 species